ACAGCCAUAUCUCAUUGAAACACCAGUUCUCGUCCAAUCCCUUAAAUUAAGCUACACUGAGCCUGGUUAGUAGCUAGAUGGAUUACUGCUUGGGAAUACCAGGUGC